AUUUUAUACUCCAGAAUGACCUCUUAACACAGUUAGCUUAUUUCUUACAUAUUCUAACAUGGAAGUGAAAUCAAUUGCUUGUUUGUUUCGCAUGCUGAGAAUACAUCAUUAGGUCACCAAAUCAGAGAGAAAAUGAGAAGCCAAACAUUGAUUAAUUGCUAAUAUGUUCUGAUAAACGCAAGCUUAUAAAAUAUUCUUCAACUUCAGGACAAAGCCAAAAACCUGCUAAUAUCAGGAAACGUGGUUCAGUGCCAACGAAAUGACAUUAAGUUGAUCAUUCAACGGUCUGCCUACAUUUUCCCUUCAAAAAUUUCAACUAAUACAUAGAAAAGAAAAUGCCAAAAGAAAUGUUGAAUUGACACUCAAUCCGCUUGCCCAGUUCAAAGCACUGUAAUGCACAAUCUCAACCCAAUAUGUGAUUUUUCCCAUAAUUAUGUUCUUAAUUAAACGGUUAGCUAGUCAAAAGGAUUAUACUGGUAAAUACUUGCACGUUAUUCCAUUGCGGAAAAGUUGUGGCAGACUAGCUUCCGUACCGAAUUCUGACCAUUUCCAGUAGAAUUACCGGGAAAAGAACCCAGAAGAUGUUGGCAACAGAAGGUGAGUUGAGGUAAUCAAUCAGGAAAAAAAAAAA
rnacentral:misc_RNA from 1 species